AGCAACAUAUAUCUUCCUCUCAGCAACAUGAUGAAACUCAUUUAUUAUAUAGUAUAUGACUCUAAGAUGGAUAAAUUCUUGUGUUGUAAGUAACAUAUACAUCAUCCGAGUAAACUGAUGAAAUUUAAAACUCAUUACUUAAUAGUUUUUCAAAUAUGAAAAUAUGACUCAGCUAUUGGAUUUAUUUGCAUAUUGUUGUUAAGCACCUAUUGUAAACAUUAAUAUACUCAUGAACCUCAAUUCACGAGUUUCCUCAAAUCACAGUGACAGGGAAAUGAUUCAAACACAUAUGACAACCUUAUAACCAACAAAAUAGCAACCUUUAAAAAAUACAUAACUCAAUAACAGUCUAUAAACAGAACUAAACUUACUUACCAUCAACUUCAUGGCCACUCAUUGGUUUCAAGUGCCAUUUAAUUUGGGAAAUGAGAGUUCUUUUCCAUCUUGGGAAAGUUGAUCAUGUCCAUUAGAUUAAAUGAGGAACAUAUUCCUAUCAUACUCUCUCAACCACUAGAUUAUUUUUUUAUACUAUCUUUCACACUCUCUUUUUCAUGUCCCCACACACCAUACAACCACCACUAAAUCACAAAUUCAACAACCACUUUGGCCACCACUGCACCACCACACACCACCAUGGUUGCUGCCGGAAAGAACUCUCCUUUCCCAAAUUAAAUGGCACCAUCAUUUUAAUCAAAACUCAAGGGUACCUGCAAAUUUUCCUAUAAAGAAUCUAAAUUAACUUAACAAUGCAAUAUUAUAUUAAUAUUUUUUUAGAGGGAUGCUAUAUUAUUUUGUUCAUAGUUUAUUUUAGAGGGAUGCAUAAUUAUCUUGUUGUUCGAAUUCCAAUCACCAUCGCAUAAACUAUACCUGUUUGUGAUUGUGUUUUUUUUAAUCCAAUUAAUCCGUUUCUCUCCAGGUAAAAUGAUUGUAUUAUAUAAUUUUGAAUUAUAUUAUUUUUCUUCUGUUUUUUUUAUAUAAAAAAACAAAUGGGUUCUGGAAGCAUAAAAAAAGAAAAAAAAAGAAAAAAUGUUAAAAAAGUAAGGUUUAAAUGUAUUUUUGGUCUUUCUAUUUAAAAAGAAAAUGAUGUUUUGGUCUUCCUAUUUUAAAAAUCGUACGCUAACAAGUUUUCCGACAGCAACCAUGGUGGUGUGUGGUGGUGCAGUGGUGGUCAAAGUGGUUGUUGAAUUUGUGAUUUAGUGGUGGUGGUAUGGGUGUGUGGGGACAUGAAAGAGAGAGUGUGAAAGAUAGUAUAAAAAAAUAAUCUAGUGGUUGAGAGAGUAUGAUAGGAAUAUGUUCCUCAUUUAAUCUAAUAGAUAUGAUCAACUUUCCCAUGGUGGGAAAGAACUCUCCUUUCCCAAAUUAAAUGGCACCUUGGUUUCAUUCUUCUCAAUCCUGCAAUAGAAGCAAACGAACAAAAAACCUAUUUAGCAGAACAAAAAGGAAAAUGGAAACAGAACUUGAAGGCGGCGACAUGAUGUUGAACAUGGGUUCUGUUUGUGUCUGUGAGAGAGGCACCGAUAGUUGGGUUUGAAAUUGAGGGUUUUGUGUCAGAGAGAGGGAGAUAUUUCAUGUGUGUGUGUGAGAAAGAGAGAGAGAGAUUUGGUUUAAGGGUUUGCUUGAAAAUGGGUUAUGGUGUGAGUUGUAUGUAUGAGCGGAGCGGACAAGAGCAAAAAUGGUUCUUUUUGCCUCUAUUUUUUUCAUUUAUCUUGCUUUGCUUUAUUUUUGUCUACUUUUGUUUGUGAGGGAAAUUGCUUGUUUUGGCAAAAUAUUUGAAUUUGAAUUUGGGAGCCAAUGUUGG
rnacentral:lncRNA from 1 species